UGUGUGUGUGUGUGUGUGUGUGUGUGCAUACCUGGAUCGCAACCCACCUGGGGAGCUCUUCUAGAGUAGUUUACAGUCUUCGAGAAAUGUUUUAUAUACUGACAACGCUAGUCCUGCAGGUUGUCAGCGGGGUCAGCCUGAAGGGUCCUCAGGAAGGGUUCGCCAUGACGAUGGAUGCCCCUUGCUGCUUGCAGCCUUUGUCUCUGAGGAGAAGGAUUUGUCAGGCUGCUGCCAAGGAAGCCUGAUGUUUUUCUGAAGAAUGGAGUCCAUUCCUUACCAGAAAAUGGGACUUUCUAAAAAGUGUCUCCAGUUUCUUAUGGAAGAGAAUGUGAGAAUGAUGAGUGCUUUAAACAUUCCCCAGGAACUCCUGUAACAAAAUAGAUUGUGACAAUUUAACAGGAAAUUGCCUGAGAGUAUUAAGACAUGCUAAUUUCACCCUGAACCCUCACUGAAAUGCAUUCAGAAUUGUUUCAUGUACAGUACACACCACACCUAAGGCAUGACCCCCUCCGACUCAAGCCAAAUUUAGCCAAUAUCCUCAUCCUUUUGGAUUUUGUUUUUAAAUGGGCAGAAGGCUGUGUUUUAAGGGGCUCCCUCUGAGUCUUGCUUGCUUGGCUCUUGCUCUUCAGUAACGUGCCUGUGGCACUCACCUUCUGCGGGUCUAUUGUUGGGUUGGGAUUUUUUUUUUUAUUAGUAUUACUAAUGAAGUUUCCAGUUAGACAGUUUCUCAGGCUUAUCCAAAGCUCAGAAUGUAUUAUUGACAUACUUGACAGGUGCCAUCUACGUCGUGUAUCAUGUCAACUGUGCCUUCUCACCCAACAGUGUGCCUGUCCUUUCUGAGUUCUCUGCAAGUGAAACCUAACAGAACCUCUGCCACUUUCUAACUAGAGAGAACUAUAUUGCUAAGGCAGAAGAAUGAUCUGUCUGUCUGUCUGUCUCUUCUCUAUCUCGCCCUACCCCUCCCCCCACCUGUAAGAUUUUAGCUGCUGUUGCUCACCUUCCUCUCAAAAUAUGCCUUCAAGGCAGACCUCUUGGUACCUGACCUGGUCUAGGAAGCGGUGUGAUCUUGGUCAGCUACAUGGAAGAGCAGAGAUGGUUGCAGUGCCAUUAGCUAGCAUCAGAUACAGAUGUGCUCUUCCAGCCCGGAGUAAAGAUUUGUCCCACAAAGGGACAUCUGAGCUUCAAAACCGUCCUUUCCCCGGAAGUCAUUCUGGGAGCUUGUGACAUACCAGGUACCCAUGGAUUGCGUGGAACCUGUGGGCUCAGUGGUUAUCACCCCACCCUUCGCACCAUUCUGUGUGCCUUCUUGGUUCCACAUCACGGGACAUGGUGGGCAGAGUGGUGUGCUUUGGAUAAAAUGCCCAAUGACCUCUAUUUCCAUAGACAUGCGGUGUUCUGUCUCACUGGAGCAAGAGUAUUGAGCAGGGAUAUUAUAAAAUUUUGACAGAAGAUUAAUUACUUUUAAAAUGAAGGGAGUGUGAUGUAAUCUUUCUUUGAUAGUGAUUUAUGGGCUACCUCAGGUCAUAGUGAAGCCAGGGAGUCUUGGUCACAAGUAUUGAUCUUCUACAAAGGCCUUCUCUUUAAACAACACUUCCUGACAAGGUGUUCCAGACAGUGUUAACGGGGCUAGCUAAGGUGUUUUGUCCUUUUGUUUUUACCAGGAAUGUAAUAUAUCCUCAGUAUACUACAACAAUGAUGCUCUCAUACUCACUGGUCAAUGCUACAGGUAGAACAUUCAAGCAUCAGCCCUGGGUAAUUAGGUAACUGAGGGCUGGGGAGAUGCUAGGUUACUAAAAUGUUUGCUUUGAAAUGUAAGGACUUGAGUUCAACUCCCAAGGCCCAAGCUUAACUUUUUUUUUUUUAAGUUAUGCAUGGUAGCACAUACUUGUAAUCCCAGCUCUGGGGAACUAGAGACAUGUGGGUCCCUGGAGCUCACCAACGACUUCUUCUAACCUACUUAGAAAGUUCCAGGCCAAUGAGGACCAACACCCAAGGUCAUCAUCUCACCUCCACAUGGGCGUGCAGCUACACACACAAACCACGCAUACACAGAGAAGUUUGCUAAUCAAACAUGAGCAGAUUUAGAAGGGAUACCCGGCCAUCUGCAACUAGAUCUUUGUGUCUGUCAGUAUGUUAUUUGGAUGACUUGACAGCGGUAGAAUCUUUUGUGUGUGUGUGUGUGUGUGUGUGUGUGUGUGUGUUGUCUGUAAAUUUUUAGUCAGCCAUCGUUUCCAGAACCCUGGGAACCAUCAUGCCUGGAAAGGCAGACUCAAGGUACUGCUAGGCUCUUAGCAUGAAAUGCCACUGAGAUGAUCAAGAUGCCGCCUACCAAAAUGUGUCAUUUCCUGCCCCUUUUCUUCUCCUUAUCUGUUUGAACUCAAAUCCUGGAGCUCAUGUUCACGUGGCCCAGGGUCAGGUGCAGACAUCUGGCAACUUCACAGUCAGUGGUGAAGGUGAAGAAACCUGAGAGCAUCUAGGGAGAGGGAUGCAGGCUGACUAGCUUUCAUAAAUGUCCUCUGUAGGGAGGUUUCCCCAGCCACUGCUUCUCUCCCUUUUUAGAUCCCUGCUCUGAACAGUGUUUUGUUGGUCUUUGCCGGGGUCUACAAAGCAUCACACAUGUAAAGGAGGCUGCAUAAUUCAGAGCAGAACAGACUGCCUGUGUGAUCUUGGUUAAUUCACUUAAAUCUCUGUGAAAGGACACUCCUGUAGAAUGUUCCUAACUGGUGCUAUAUUAAUUCAUGAGGAACAUAACAAAUUAAUAUCAAAGUUCUAGCUCAAAUAUUUGAAACGUGGUUAGUGUUCAGACAUAUUGAAACCUAAUUGGUGUUCAGAUAUCAUCUUAAGUCUCAGAUACAAAAUUAUCUAUACUGUUUUGUUUUGUUUCUAAGAAGUCUUGGUAUAUAUCCCAGGCUUGUAUUGGACUCAACAAUCCUCCUGCCUCAGCCUCCUGAGUGCUGGGUGACAGGUAAGCCAGAUUCAGGUGUACUGUUUUUAAUAUGUUAUCUGUAAAGGAGAUCAUUAACUCUUUGUUCUAGGCAGAACUAAAGUAGAUGGUCUCUCUGGUCUCUCUUGGGUUUAAUACAAUAUGCAUGACAGCCUGAUUUCUUUGCAUGUGACAGUAAACAAGGUCUUCAUUUGCCUUGUCCCUAUUUCCACCAACAGAUUGCCCAGGUAAGACUUAGCAAGGGCUCACUAAAUGUUGGUUGGAUUGAAUUGAUUUAUUCACAGCAAUAAACGCAUCACACUGUCUAAAUUAAUGUUUCUCUCCCCUAUAACAUACAUCUGCCCAAAUACUCCGAGUCGUAGAGACCUUCUAGCAGAGAGCCUAAUGAUGGGGCCCAUCUGUCUCCAGCAGACUGUCCUGGAAGGGAGCACCUCUAUCUACUGCAAUGAUGCCAGGAAGCUGGUUACUACACAGUAGCCUACCUCUGUAAGGGGGCAAUAGGGAGCAUAUGUCUAAAACAUGGUGUGCUAAAAUGCUUCAAAUAUUCCCAGGGUUCUGGAAUAUUGGAUUUAGAACAAUGUGUUUUGUAACCAAAGAACCAAAUGGUUAAUUUCCAGUAGGGUGUUAAUCUAUGUUAUGAACAAAGCUCUCUUGACUAUCAUUUUGAAACUAAGAGUUUAAAGAGCUGUAGGUGUAUGUAGCCAAAUGGUAGCAGACUUGCCUAGCCUAUACAGGAGCCCAGACUUGAGUGCUUACUAGAACUGAAGGUGAUUUCUUGGAAACUGUAAACUAAAAACUGUGUAUACAGAGGAGACUUGUGACCUGCUAUAAAACACUGUUCAUUAAUGUGCUGUGUACUGAACUCAGCACCUCAGCGUGCUAGACAGCCCUCUACCACUGACCCUCUGCGAAACUUCCUUUGUGCUAUCACAGGGGGAAUGUAUUCAUAACUUGAUAAGAUAAUAAGAUAAUCUGUCUGAACAAUGAGUGUCCUGUUUAAUGCCAGCACAAGAUGAUACUUCAUACAUUUUAAAGAUGUAUGUAUGGCUAAUGUUCUGUGAUUGUAAAACUUCUGAAAACUGGUAUUAUCGAGAGUUUCAAAAGUAUUUAAGCAAAAUGUCUAUCAAAUUACCUUCCAGACUAAAUUAAUGUCGUAUAAGUCCAGUCCACUUAGUUUUUGUUAGCUUGGUACUUCCUUUGUAGUAUUUUUAGUUAGAGGUGCGUAUGAAUGAGUUUGUGCAUGUGAGUGCACCGAGCUUGGAGGCCAGAAGGGGGCAUCAUACCUUUAAUCUGGAGCUAUUACUACGGGUGGUUAUGCACUGCCUGCUGUGGGUGCUUGUCAUUAAAUUGCAGUCCUCUACAGGAGCUCCACGUGCUCUUAGUGGCCAAGCCACCUCUCCAGAUCCUUAAUUUGGAAAUUUAAAAUGACAUAAUCCCCACUCCAAAGCACGUACAGUCUGAACAGAAGACACAAAAAUGUGUUCCGUUCCUGUGUAUCCCUGUGGGAGUGCAGUUAAGGAAACUUUGUUGGAGAACUAUUAGGCGCAGAGUUCGUCAGGCUAGUCAAAGCUGUUGGCAACCUGAAUGUCCAUCAACACAUGAAUGGUCAUCAGAAUGUGAUAUCCAUACAGCGGGAUAUCAGCCACCUUUAAAAAGCAGGACUUUCUACUAUAUGCUUCAACACAAACAAACCCUGACAGCAUUAUGCGAAAUAUAAUAAGGGAGACCCAACAGAGUAAAUAGCUCACAGUACUCUUCAGACGAGGUGCUUAGAAUUGGCAAAUCCGUAAAGCCUAAAGUACAAGAGAUGUUUCCAGAAAUUCAGGGCAAGACAUAAAGGUGACUAUUUAAUGGGUGCAGUUUUUCUCUAAGGGCAUCAAAAAACUCUUAGUGGAUAGAAGAGAUGUUGCGCAAUAUUGUGAAUGUGCUAAUGCCACUGAAUUAAUGCUUACAAGUGGCUCAAUUUUUUUGACAAUAUAUUUUUUCCACAGUUAAAAAGGUGGUUUGCUUAUACAUCAUGC
rnacentral:lncRNA from 1 species